CUUAUACUCCCUCCGUCCAGAAAUACUUGUCGGGGAAAUGAAUGUAUCUAGACGUAUUUUAGUUUUAGAUACAUCCAUUUUCACGACAAGUAAUUUCGGACGAAGGGAGUACAUA
rnacentral:pre_miRNA from 1 species